rnacentral:rRNA from 1 species
GGUCAAGCGAACAAGUGCAUGUGGUGGAUGCCUUGGCGAUCACAGGCGAUGAAGGACGCGGUAGCCUGCGAAAAGCUUCGGGGAGCUGGCAAACAAGCUUUGAUCCGGAGAUGUCCGAAUGGGGAAACCCGGCCCUUAUGGGUCAUCCCUGACUGAAUACAUAGGUCAGGGAAGCGAACGCGGCGAACUGAAACAUCUAAGUAGCUGCAGGAACAGAAAUCAACCGAGAUUCCCAGAGUAGUGGCGAACGAAAUGGGAAGAGCCUUGUACUCUUUAGCAGCAUUGUUAGCAGAACGGAAUGGAAAGCCCGGCCAUAGCAGGUGAUAGCCCUGUAUGCGAAAACAGCGUUGUGGAACUAGGUGUACGACAAGUAGGGCGGGACACGUGAAAUCCUGUCUGAAGAUGGGGGGACCAUCCUCCAAGGCUAAAUACUCGUGAUCGACCGAUAGUGAACCAGUACCGUGAGGGAAAGGCGAAAAGAACCCCGGGAGGGGAGUGAAAUAGAUCCUGAAACCGCAUGCAUACAAACAGUCGGAGCCUGGAAACGGGUGACGGCGUACCUUUUGUAUAAUGGGUCAGCGACUUACAUCCAGUGGCAAGCUUAACCGAUUAGGGAAGGCGUAGCGAAAGCGAGUCCGAAUAGGGCGUUCAGUCGCUGGGUGUAGACCCGAAACCAGACGAUCUAUCCAUGGCCAGGUUGAAGGUGCGGUAACACGUACUGGAGGACCGAACCCACUAACGUUGAAAAGUUAGGGGAUGAGCUGUGGAUAGGGGUGAAAGGCUAAACAAGUCUGGAAAUAGCUGGUUCUCUCCGAAAACUAUUUAGGUAGUGCCUCGUGUCUCACCUUCGGGGGUAGAGCACUGUCAUGGUUGGGGGGUCUAUUGCUGAUUACCCCGCCAUAGCAAACUCCGAAUACCGAAGAGUGCAAUCACGGGAGACAGACAUCGGGUGCUAACGUCCGGUGUCAAGAGGGAAACAACCCAGACCGCCAGCUAAGGUCCCUAAGAUUGGCUAAGUGGGAAACGAAGUGGGAAGGCUAAAACAGUCAGGAGGUUGGCUUAGAAGCAGCCAUCCUUUAAAGAAAGCGUAAUAGCUCACUGAUCGAGUCGUCCUGCGCGGAAGAUGUAACGGGGCUAAGCCAGUCACCGAAGCUGCGGAUGCACGUAAGUGCAUGGUAGGAGAGCGUUCUGUAAGCCUGUGAAGGUGUCUUGUAAAGGAUGCUGGAGGUAUCAGAAGUGCGAAUGCUGACAUGAGUAGCGAUAAAGGGGGUGAAAAGCCCCCUCGCCGUAAGCCCAAGGUUUCCUACGCAACGUUCAUCGGCGUAGGGUGAGUCGGCCCCUAAGGCGAGGCAGAGAUGCGUAGCUGAUGGGAAGCAGGUUAAUAUUCCUGCACCGUCGUAUGAUGCGAUGGGGGGACGGAUCGCGGAAGGUUGUCCGGGUGUUGGAAGUCCCGGUCCCUGCAUUGGAGAAGGCGCUUAGGCAAAUCCGGGCGCGGAAUUCAAGGAUGUGGGGCGAGCGGCCUAGUGCUGCGAAGCAAUUGGAAGUGGUUCCAAGAAAAGCCUCUAAGCUUCAGUCAUACGAGACCGUACCGCAAACCGACACAGGUGGGCGAGAUGAGUAUUCUAAGGCGCUUGAGAGAACUCGGGAGAAGGAACUCGGCAAAUUGGUACCGUAACUUCGGGAUAAGGUACGCCCUUGUAGCUUGACUGGCCUGCGCCAGGAGGGUGAAGGGGUUGCAAUAAAAUGGUGGCUGCGACUGUUUAAUAAAAACACAGCACUCUGCAAACACGAAAGUGGACGUAUAGGGUGUGACGCCUGCCCGGUGCCGGAAGAUUAAAUGAUGGGGUGCAAGCUCUUGAUUGAAGUCCCGGUAAACGGCGGCCGUAACUAUAACGGUCCUAAGGUAGCGAAAUUCCUUGUCGGGUAAGUUCCGACCUGCACGAAUGGCGUAACGAUGGCCACACUGUCUCCUCCCGAGACUCAGCGAAGUUGAAGUGUUUGUGAUGAUGCAAUCUCCCCGCGGCUAGACGGAAAGACCCCAUGAACCUUUACUGUAGCUUUGCAUUGGACUUUGAACCGAUCUGUGUAGGAUAGGUGGGAGGCUUUGAAGCGUGGACGCUAGUCUGCGUGGAGCCGUCCUUGAAAUACCACCCUGGUUUGUUUGAGGUUCUAACCUUGGUCCGUGAAUCCGGAUCGGGGACAGUGCAUGGUAGGCAGUUUGACUGGGGCGGUCUCCUCCCAAAGUGUAACGGAGGAGUUCGAAGGUACGCUUGGUACGGUCGGACAUCGUACCUAAAGUGCAAUGGCAAAAGCGUGCUUAACUGCGAGACCGACAAGUCGAGCAGGUGCGAAAGCAGGACAUAGUGAUCCGGUGGUUCUGAAUGGAAGGGCCAUCGCUCAACGGAUAAAAGGUACUCUGGGGAUAACAGGCUGAUACCGCCCAAGAGUUCAUAUCGACGGCGGUGUUUGGCACCUCGAUGUCGGCUCAUCUCAUCCUGGGGCUGUAGCCGGUCCCAAGGGUAUGGCUGUUCGCCAUUUAAAGAGGUACGUGAGCUGGGUUUAAAACGUCGUGAGACAGUUUGGUCCCUAUCUGCCGUGGGCGUUGGAAUCUUGACGGGGGCUGCUCCUAGUACGAGAGGACCGGAGUGGACGUACCGCUGGUGUACCUGUUGUCUCGCCAGAGGCAUCGCAGGGUAGCUAUGUACGGAAGAGAUAACCGCUGAAAGCAUCUAAGCGGGAAACUCGCCUGAAGAUGAGGAUUCCCUGGAGCCUUGAGCUCCUUGAAGGGUCGUUCGAGACCAGGACGUUGAUAGGCUGGGUGUGGAAGCGCAGUAAUGCGUUAAGCUAACCAGUACUAAUUGCCCGUAAGGCUUGAUCCUAUAACCAGUGUGUUUCUACC